rnacentral:rRNA from 1 species
GACGAACGCUGGCGGCGUGCUUAACACAUGCAAGUCGAGCGAUGAAGUUUCUUCGGAAAUGGAUUAGCGGCGAACGGGUGAGGAACACGUGAAGAAUCUGCCCUCCACUUUGGGAUAACACAGGGAAACCUGUGCUAACACCGAAUAUUGAAACAUAAGUGGCAUCACUGAGUUUUGAAAGAAUUUCGGUGGAGGAUGACUUCGCGGCCUAUCAGCUAGUUGGUGAGGUAAUGGCUCACCAAGGCAACGACGGGCAGCCGGCCUGAGAGGGCGACCGGCCACACUGGGACUGAGACACGGCCCAGACUCCUACGGGAGGCAGCAGUGGGGAAUAUUGGGCAAUGGAGGAAACUCUGACCCAGCGACGCCGCGUGCGGGAUGAAGGCCUUAGGAUUGUAAAAUUCUUUCACCGGGGACGAUAAUGACGGUACCCGGAGAAGAAGCCCCGGCUAACUUCGUGCCAGCAGCCGCAGUAAAAC